UACAGAGGUCUCAAGCGUUGUUCGGAUUCAUUGGGCGUAAAGGGUGCGUAGGUGGCGCUGUAAGUCGGGUGUGAAAUUUCGGAGCUUAACUCCGAAACUGCAUUCGAUACUGCGGUGCUUGAGGACUGGAGAGGAGACUGGAAUUCAUGGUGUAGCAGUGAAAUGCGUAGAGAUCAUGAGGAAGACCAGUGGCGAAGGCGGGUCUCUGGACCGAGACUGACGCUGAGGCGCGAAAGCGUGGGGAGCAAACAGG
rnacentral:rRNA from 1 species